UGAAAAAAAGGAUUUUUUGGUGUAGUAAUAUUUAUUAGGUUAACUGUCAUAAUUUUUACUUUCUAAUUGUAAGUAUCAGUGAGAACUGGAAUUAUUCAAGUAAAACUAUAUAUGUCAUUCAAGUAAUAAAUAAACUGUGUGGGAUGAGUACGUUUUAUUAUGUAUUUUCAAGUAAUAUUCAAAGGUUUCAUAGUCAUUGCACAUGAACUUAGAAAUGCCAAGUAAGUUUAACUAGUGUUGGUGUUUGGAAUCCGCGCAUGCGCCUUGUGAUGCGCAUACAGGACGCAUGCGCUCCGUUUUCCGCCAAAACACAAGAAGACGACAACGACGGUCAGGUUUAAUGGAGGCAGGAGCACCUAAAUUAUCUUGAAGGUAAGUAAUUCAGGGUUUUUCCUGCAUAUGUAACGAAGUUAAAAUAUAAUAUGAUCCCACUUGCCAUUAUCACACAUCACGUAUCACUGUAGCUUAAUUUUACCAUGGUCACUAAACGCAACUUACUUGUGGACUUGGGUCGUGCGCCCGGGUGUACAGCAGUCAGACCUUGCUGUCCCCUUGGUAAGUGCACAAGUUAUGAGCUCCACCAUCGUUUUCAUUAAUUAUCUUAAUUGUAUACAAAACGAGUGGUUUAUUUUGUUAUGAAACGUAUAGCUCCCAAACGGUCGAGCACCUCCUUUUAAUUUAAAAGUUGACGGUGUUUUUCUUUAUUUAGAUAAUGUGGCCAGUGUGACACGUGUUGCUAGCUAACCAGCUAACCUCUUUUAUUUUUCACUUGCAGUAAGACGUAUGUGUGUGUAAACCGGGACUGACUAUGAUUAAUAACAGAGCUGCCAACUCUCACGCUUUCGCUGUGUGACACCCGUUUUUGCCUGUUUGCACUCACGCCACACAUCCGAUUUCUGACACACAAAUCCGGCCGAGACGCGUUCUUUCCUUUUUCAAACCCCCCCAACGAUAGAUGGCGCUGAUGAGCGCCACUGAGCCAUGUGCGCUGCACCCCGAAAUAAGCGACAGAAGAAGAGAUACCAGCGGCGCAAAAGAACCAAAACGCAAGAAGAAACAGUCGAUACCUCAAGAAGUCUGAAGUCUGAGCUGAGACUGGCUAGCGACACGUUGAAGCGAGACGGGAGGCUAUUAUUCGCGCCCUGAUGGAAUUCCUGGGGGAGUCUUCAGGUGAACUCAAGGACUACAAGGAUAUCAGCAGAGAAGAAGCUCAAAAGGACCAGGCUUAGCAAGUCCUGAGGAUCUGUGUCUUCCACACAAGUGAAGAAGAUGACGGUGCAUCCAAAACUGAUGUGUUGAUUGUUAUUGAAGGGACUGAGGUACUUGACAAAUGUGGAAGUGUUGCAAAGGCCUGUCUCCUGCUCAUGGUCAUCAUAUAUGCCAUGAACCUGUGUUAUCCCCCAAAAACGCCUAACCCUUUUUAGUUUCAAGAUAUUCUGCACAGACGUUUAGAACCUCAGGGCAAAACACUGUUCUUUAAGGUCAAACGUUUUAAUGUUAAACCAAUAAUAAGCAUGUAUUUUAAGAUGCACUGAAGGUUCCUGAAGCAUGUCAAAUGUUUUUGUUGAGAGUUCAAGGUUAAAAAGCCUAUCCAAAAGAUAGGCUACAUAUUCUCUAUCCAAACAGUUCCUGAAUGUUUCCUUGUGCCUUUUACCAAGCUACCUCAAACCCAUUUUAGCCACUCUAAGAUGAAAUUUCUGUCAUCUACUCACCCCGAUGCCGAUAAGAUUGAAGUGUUGUCGAACAUUCGUGCUCUUCUGGGAGUUUGGAACACUGAUGGGUUUGCUGGAAGUUACUAGUUAAGUUUGUGUGCAGUGUUGGAAAUUGUUUGAUUAAAAAUUGUUUUUCACUUGAAAAUAAAUGGGUUUUUAAAUUCAACAGUUGCCUUAUUUUUUUUGAAGCCAUUGUUUCAAU